rnacentral:rRNA from 1 species
UGCUACCGGGUGACCGGAUGCCGAUCUCGAAAACCUGUCCCAGUUCGGACUGGAGUCUGCAACCCGACUCCAUGAAGCUGGAUUCGCUAGUAAUCGCGCAUCAGCCACGGCGCGGUGAAUACGUUCCCGGGCCUUGUACACACCGCCCGUCAAGCCAUGAAAGCCGGGGGCGCCUGAAGUCCGUGACCGCGAGGGUCGGCCUAGGGUGAAACCGGUGAUUGGGGCUAAGUCGUAACAAGGUAUC